rnacentral:lncRNA from 1 species
GUUCACAAUAGUAAUAAUUGAAAUAAAUGUAAAAUAUACCACUAUGUUAAACUGGAGGUAGGCUGCAACUUAUUAAGAGCAGGUUUAUUAUUUGAGAUUUGCAUGAACAGAUGGAAACUGGAAUUGAUUUUAUUAUAAUUUUUCCCCAGUUCUGGGGAUUGAACCAAGGGCCCAACACAUGCUAGGCCAGUACUCUACCUCUGAGCUAUAUCCCCAUUCCUUUUUUAUCUGAAGACAGGGUCUAAGUUGCCCAGACUGGCCUUGAACUUGCAGACUUCCUGCUUUGGCCUCCCAAGUAGCCAGGAUCAUAGGCAUGUGUCACUGUGCCUAGCUAAUUACAAAAUCCUUUCUGCAGUGCUGGGGAUUGAAGUAAAUCUUUUUUUUAAUAUUUAUUUUUUAGUUGUAGUUGGACACAAUAUCUUUAUUUUAUUUAUUUAUUUUUAUAUAGUGCUGAGGAUGGAACCCCCGGCCUCGCACAUGCUAGGCAAGCACUCUACCUCUGAGCCACAACUCUAGCCCUGAAGUAAAUCUUUUUAAAAUGAGACUUUUGUUGUUGUUGUUCUACACAAUAUUUUAUUUAUUUUUAUGCGGUGUUGCAGAUCGAACCCAGUGUCCUGUACGUGCUAGGCUAGCGCUCUACCACUGAGCCACAACCUCAGCCCUUUAAAAUGAGACUUAUUUUAAAGGAACUUUCUUGGGUAGAAAUUUAAGAGAAUUUGCUUUCCAGAAAGAAAUUUUUUUCUGAAACAAGCUAAAAUAAUCUCUUUCCAGUUUGAAGUUUAUUAAUAACAGGGAUAGACAUUUUUUUUAACAUAUUUAUUUAUUUAUUUAUUUAGUUAUUGGCAGACACAACAUCUUUGUUGUUGGUAUGUGGUGCUGAGGAUCAAACCCGGGCCGCACGCAUGCCAGACGAGCGUGCUACCACUUGAGCCACAUCCCCAGCCCCAGGGAUAGACAUUUUUAAAAGUAGAGGAAAUGCUGCAUUAAGAAUUUGCCUGAGGUCGAGCAUAGCAGCACAUGUCUGUAACCCCAGCAACUCAGGAUGUUGAGACAGGAAGAUCGCAAGUUUGAAGCCAGACUCUACAACUUAGACCCAAAGCAACAGAGUCUCAAACAAUAAAAAGCUGAGGAUAUGGCUCAGUGUUUAAGCCUCGUGGGUUCAAUUCCUGGUAUUAAAAAAAAAAAAACUGCUUGAGAAACCAUUUCUGAAGCCUUUCAAAUUGUUGUAGACAACAGCUAAAUUUACCCAACUAUUUACAGUUUCUCUUAGAAAAUUUGAUUUAAAUUUUGUGGGUUUUAGGAUGGGUGAAAUUUAGAAAACAUUUGAAGGAAUCCACGGGUCAUUAAAGUGGCAUCAUUUUCCGUAUAUUUCAGGCAGUUUCCAAAUAAAAAAUUGGCUUUAAAAUUUCACUUGUAUGUUAAAUUGAGAAGUAUUACUACUCACCUUUAUAAAAAUGAUACUUUAAGUGGGUAUUGACUUUUUGUUUUGUUUUUUUUUCCCUAAAGCUUAUUUAAUGCACAGGAAGCCUGACAGGUAAACAGUGGUAACUAAAUUGCUUUAUUCUGUACUGGAAGAAUGUGUGGGCAACUUUUCUCCAUACCGCACCCUGGUGGCUAGGUCACAGAAUGAAUUCUCCCGUGUCUGCCAGACAGUGAUGAUGGUGGCUCAGAAAGCUGGCUCAGAAAGUCAGAUUGGUAAACAUUUUGUUACGCUGUUUACCGGUGAUGUGAUGAGUCCUUGCUUCCCUGAAUGCUGGAGUCUAACACCAGAGAAGCACGCAGAGGCAAGUGGAGAGUGCAAAGUGGAAGCUUUAUUAAAGGACAGCAGGAAAGACUUCUCCCCCGAGGAAGAGGGGGACCCAAAAGGCGGAAUCUGUGGAAGGGGGAGGUCUUCCCUUUUUUAUAUCUAAGGUCUUCUUUUAGUCCUCCCACAUUCCUAUCCUUUGUUUCUCUCCAUUCUGCAGUGAUAGAAUGCAGGUGGGAGUUAGGUGGACUGGAGGAGUAAUCUGAGCAGGAAGGGCCUGGGGUGGUUUGAUUAGCACCUCUCUGUUUACUGGGAGCUACUUUAUUAACAGUUCCUUAGGAUGGGUUCCGGGCCAUUUCAAUUUCCCCAGAUGCUGUUCUGGCUUCCUGGACUCCACUCUCGAUAAUGGUCUCCAUUUUCUUUAUCUUACUCAAUAUUAGACCCGAUUUACCUAACUACAGUAACUACCUAUCUUUAAAUCUGGCUUCGGUUUCAUGGAGAAACUUAACAGAGAUGAAGACUUCAGUGUUUUUUUGUAGAAACCUGAGUGAUGUGUGGAUUGGAACAGAAUGGCACUUUGAAGCUAGCAAGAAUGCUGCCUAUGACUCAGUGGUAGAGUGCUUGCCUGGCAUGUGUGAGGCCCUGGGUUCAAUCUUCAGCACUUCAUAUAAAUAAAUAAAAGAUCCAUUGACAACUAAAAAAUAUUAAAAAAUAGAAAAUGACUGAAAUGGGGAAGGGUAAAGAAUUGGCAGAAUAUUCCUCUACCUUUCCUGUUGCAACUUAUAUAUCAGAUCCUCCUGCGUUAUCACUGCCUUUAAAUAGGAAGAGAAAGGGAUCCAAGAAGUAAAUUUAAGGUCUGAAGCACCUGGCUGAGGGAGUGGUAGUUUCAAGUCAAAUACUAGGUCACAUACAUGUAAAAUGAUCCACUUGCACAUUGUGUUUCCAAAAAUGUUAAAAUUAGCUAUAUAUAUUUGAAAAAUUCGUUUCCAAAAAUCUGGAGUAAACAUUUUCCAAUUUUUGAUGGGAUAAGAAAACAAUGGUAUCUAUAUAUGUUCAAGCUUGUACUUAUUAAUAUUAAGUACAACAAAGGAAUAAUUGUGUUUGAACUUCUAACUGUGGACCUUCUCACAUUUUGGCUAAUGUUCCAAAUUUCUGAAAAUUACUUAAAUAUUUUCAUCAUUUUUUUUGGAGGGUGGGUACUGGGGAUUGAAUCCAGAGGCACUUUGCCACUAAGCUACAUAAUUCAGCCCUUUAAAUUUUUUAAACUCUAAAACAGAGUCUUACUAAGUUGCUUAGUGCCUCAUUCAGUUGCUGCGACUGACCUCGAACUUGCUAUCCUCCUGCCUCAGUUUCCUGAGCUGCUGGGAUUUCAGGCUUCAUCAUCAUUCUUAAACUUCCAUUAAAUGACUUUGUGGCCUGUCAGAUAAAAGGACCAUUUAAUAUCUACAAAAUCCCUUGGUUUUGAGUCCUCAGUAUGGUGUCCUGUACUGUCUUAGCAGAGCAUAAGUAGCAUGAUACCUCAUAAAAACCCUGAACUAGGUAGUUUUUUAAACAAUUAAAAAGUGUCUGUAGUACUUAAUUUCGGUUGUCAUACCUGAGUACUACUGACAUGUAAGAGUACAUGCAUAUUUUAAAUUUAUACUGUAAAAACUUGUUGAAACAAAAACCUGCAGAAUUCACUCAUAGGAGCAAAAUACAUAUACUGCCAACGAAAUUCAGAAGGUUGGAUUAUUGACUAGGUUAACCAGAAGAAUAAUCUGUUAGGCUUUAAUUUUUGGGGGUAGGUGGACAAGGCUAGUAUGGAGUUAAUGGCAGCAGAUUUUCCAUUUCCAUCUGUUCAUUCAUCAGUUGAGAAAAACAAAUGAAUUGGAACUAUAAACUAAUCACUCAUUUUUUUAAUAAGAUGCAAAUAUCAUAGAUCAGAUUGCUUCCAUAUGCUGAGAAUAUGCAAAAUUUUUUAUCCUGAAAAUCAAAGACACCUGAAAUUAAUGGAUCAUUGAAUGAAACUUUUUGCUAUAGUAUUUUUUAUUAAAAUCUCAACCUUAGAAUUAAGAGUUCUGGAAGAAUUUUGGUAUGGUUUUGUAUUUUACUGGAACAAUACCAGUGCAACACUGAUUCAGUCCAACAAACAGGCUGAAAAAAAGUAGAUACUCUCUAGUAGCUACAAAUUUAUUUCUAGAACAGAUUUAAUAAAAAUAAGAUUAAAAAUAAUACAAACUCUUCAAGCCCAUGAGAGUCAAACAAAAAAAAGAUAAUGAUUUGCAACUGUUGGUGGUCAGGCUCUGGUGGUUUUAUUUGUAUAGUUUGGUCUUUGGGGCACAACAGAAAUUGAAAAACCAUGUAAUUGUGUAGAGAUGGUUCUUGAAGGCUUUUUUUUUUUUUUUUUUUUGUAGUUGUAGAUGGACAGAAUGCCUUUAUUUUAUUUUAUGUGGUGCUAAGUGCCUCUCACAUGCUAGGCAAGCGCUCUGCCACUGAGCUACAGCCCCAGCCCAGCUCUUGAUGUUUUUGAAAAAACCUUCUGUUAAUACAAUCAGAUUAGAUCCUCUCAUAUUAGAUUCUUAAACAAUUUUAUACUAAAGGGAAACAGCUUUAAUUUCUAGUAGAAUUAUUAAAAUUUUUUUUUUUUAUCAUUGUACUGGGGAUUAAACCCAGGGUCUCACACGUGCUAGGCAAAGUACUCUACUUCUGAGCUCCAUCCACAGUCCUUUUAAUUUUUUUUUAUUUUGAGACAGGGUCUAAGUUGCCCAGGCUGGCCUUGAACGUACGAUCCUCUUGCCUCAGCUUCCCAAAUAUCUAGGAUCGCAGGUUUGUAACACUGUGCACUUGAGUUAUUACUUUACUAAUCAGGAUACUCAAUCUCUAACACAUUAAAAAUGGGGAAAAAUAAAAAUAUUUGUCAAUAUCUCAAGCCUUUAAACUCAUAUAUACUAGUCAAACCUUCCUCACUCAAAGAAUGAUUGGAAUGGAGCUGCUGUUUUGCUUUUUACUGUAUUCUCAAGUAAUUUUUUACAUUCAAAUAUAGAUUUUUAAAAAUUUGUAAAUGUUAAAUUAUUGCAAGUUAAAAGUAUUAGUUUGUUUUGUGUUCUAUAGCAGAAUACCUGGGCUGUACAAUUUAUAUUUACUUUUUAGGUUUGUGGAGUCUGGGAAGUCCUGGGUUGAGGGUCCCACAUCUGGUCCCAUGGCAGAAGGUGGACGGCAAGAGAGAUUAAGGCCGAGUGCGAGAGAGGAUUGAACACACUUCUAUGGAUUGAACCCACUCUUCUAAAAAAAAAAUACUUGUCUACUUCAUGUACAACCAGAGAAGUGAAAAAUUCUCCAUUCGUGUAAUGAAUCGAAGAGCUUUCUACUGUCAUGUAUAACUGAUUCAAACUUAUUAAAAAAACACACAUUUGUGUAAGAUAAUGACAUUGAUACAUUCAUAAGGACAGAGCCUUCAUGAUCCUUUAAGCCCCUCUUAAAGUUCCUCCUCCCUACACUGCCACAUAGGGCACUGUUUUCAGCAUAUGAACUUUGGGAACAUAUUCAAACUACACCAUUAAGUAAAUGUUUUCUAUGAAGUUACCUCCAUGUUUUAAUUGAUUAUACUUCAUAGAGGAAAAUAUUUACAUAACAGUUUCUUUCAGUUCAAAUGAAGAAAGAAUUAUUAUCUAAAUAGCAAAUAUAUUUUAAAAAAUAUAACAGAUUAAUAUGACAAUAUGCCUAACAAAAACAAAAUUUGGAAGAAAAUUUUUAUGAAACAUUUUAGAAAGUUGCUCUAUAACUUAAGCAAUACACUGGGAGUUCUACUUUUUCAAAAGGGUAGUAUAGUUGCCUAGUUUACAUUGCAAUUUUAUUUGCUCUUUGUUAAUGUAAUAUUGUAUAAUCGAGAGCUUAAUUCUUAUAAACUGUUAUUGGUUUAUAAAAGUAUGUUUAAUGAGCAAAAGCUUUAAUGGCUGAAUGUCAUAUAUGUGAAAUGAAUAUAUUAUAUCUAUUUUUGUCAUGAAAAUAAAUAUGUGAAGCAAGAUGAUUUGUGUGUGAACAGUGAAUGCAAUUAAAGUUACUUUGUUUCCUUUUUUCAUUGUA